AGUUUAAUUUGAUCAUGGCUCAGAGUGCCACGCUGGUAGUAGGCCUAACACAUGCAAGUCGAACGGCAGCACAGGAGAGCUUGCUCUCUGGGUGGCGAGUGGCGGACGGGUGAGGAAUACAUCGGAAUCUACUCUGUCGUGGGGGAUAACGUAGGGAAACUUACGCUAAUACCGCAUACGACCUACGGGUGAAAGCAGGGGAUCUUCGGACCUUGCGCGAUUGAAUGAGCCGAUGUCGGAUUAGCUAGUUGGCGGGGUAAAGGCCCACCAAGGCGACGAUCCGUAGCUGGUCUGAGAGGAUGAUCAGCCACACUGGAACUGAGACACGGUCCAGACUCCUACGGGAGGCAGCAGUGGGGAAUAUUGGACAAUGGGCGCAAGCCUGAUCCAGCCAUACCGCGUGGGUGAAGAAGGCCUUCGGGUUGUAAAGCCCUUUUGUUGGGAAAGAAAUCCAGCUGGCUAAUACCUGGUUGGGAUGACGGUACCCAAAGAAUAAGCACCGGCUAACUUCGUGCCAGCAGCCGCGGUAAUACGAAGGGUGCAAGCGUUACUCGGAAUUACUGGGGCGUNAAGCGUGCGUAGAGUGGGUCAGUUUAAGUCCGUUGUUGAAAAGCCCUGGGCUCACCUGGUGAACUGCAGUGGAUACUGGGCGACUAGAGUGUGGUGAGGGUAGC
rnacentral:rRNA from 1 species